UACGUAGGGGGCUAGCGUUGUCCGGAAUCAUUGGGCGUAAAGAGCGCGUAGGCGGCUAGAUAAGUCCGGUGUGAAAGUCACAGGCUCAACCUGUGAAUGCCGCUGGAAACUGUCUGGCUAGAGUCCGGAAGGGGCGAGUGGAAUUCCUGGUGUAGCGGUGAAAUGCGCAGAUAUCAGGAGGAACACCAAUGGCGAAGGCGGGUCUCUGGGCCGAUACUGACGCUGAGGAGCGAAAGCGUGGGGAGCGAACAGG
rnacentral:rRNA from 1 species